UAUCAUCAAGCAGUGAAGCUGUGUGCCUAAUGAGAAUGUUGUUGGCAGAGCCAUACACAAUUUAGCCCCUUUCAGAAAAUUUUACUCCCAAAUCAAAGAGGCCUAGCAUUGUAAGGAAAAGGAAAUUUGACACAGCUUUCGUAUCAUAAAGUAACAACAUGAUAGUAAAGGUAUAUUUUAUUAUUGCUCUAUAUGGAAGAGGUUGGUGAAGGAGUGAAUACAUUCAUCAUUUGUAAGCCUCUGACUGCAUAUCACUUGUUUCCUCAAAAUUAUAGUUUUCCCAGCUCAUAACCAAGUUGAAGAUCAGAGUAAGUGGGCUCAUUAAUUGUAGAAACCUGUCUGCUAAAUGUGUUUAGCACAUGUUUUGUUUACUAACAGAUUAAUUGUGAGGUUCUGGAUUUUUAGCUCCUUUAAAUGAUACUUCUUCAAUGUGAACCAAGAGUCAGGGUGCUAGUUAGACAUCAAAGUGCUGGAGCAGCAAGUCUUAAAGAUCGGCAGAGUCCAGCUUCAAGUAGGGGUUUACCUUCAGUUUCAUCAUCUUUACAUGGUUAUGAU